GUAAAUUUAAUUUAAAUAUAUAAAAUAAAUAAUUAAAUAAAUAUAAAUAUUAUUGCGGUUCGGUUCGGUUUGUAUUCGGUUUUAAAAUUGUCGAAACCAAAACCAAAACCAAAGUAUCGGUGCGGUUUUUAUUCGGUUCGGUUUUUAUUCGGUGCGGUUUUAUUUGGUGCGGUUUCGUGCGGUUUUUGCGGUUUUCGGUUCGGUUUCGGUUUUCGGUUCGGUUUCUGCUCAUCCC
rnacentral:lncRNA from 1 species